rnacentral:rRNA from 1 species
UACCAGCACCCCGAGUGGUCGGGACGAUUAUUGGGCCUAAAGCAUCCGUAGCCGGUUUUACAAGUCCUCCGUUAAAUCCAGCUGCUUAACAGAUGGCUGCGGAGGAUACUAUAAGACUAGGAGGCAGGAGAGGCAAGCGGUACUCAGUGGGUAGGGGUAAAAUCCGUUGAUCCAUUGAAGACCACCAGUGGCGAAGGCGGCUUGCCAGAAUGCGCUCGACGGUGAGGGAUGAAAGCUGGGGAGCAA